rnacentral:rRNA from 1 species
GACGAACGCUGGCGGCGUGCUUAACACAUGCAAGUCGAGCGGUAAGGCCCUUCGGGGUACACGAGCGGCGAACGGGUGAGUAACACGUGGGUAACCUGCCCUGUACUCUGGGAUAAGCCUUGGAAACGAGGUCUAAUACCGGAUAUGACACCGGACUGCAUGGUUUGGUGUGGAAAGUUCCGGCGGUACAGGAUGGACCC